rnacentral:tRNA from 3 species
GCGCCCGUAGCUCAGCUGGAUAGAGCAACAGCCUUCUAAGCUGUGGGUCGUAGGUUCGAAUCCUACUGGGCGCA